rnacentral:rRNA from 1 species
AUACGGAGGGUGCAAGCGUUACUCGGAAUCACUGGGCGUAAAGCGCGCGCAGGCGGUCUUUUAAGUUGGAUGUAAAAGCCUACGGCUCAACCGUAGAACUGCAUCCAAAACUAUUAGACUAGAGUGUGGGAGAGGAAGAUGGAAUUAGUUGUGUAGGGGUAAAAUCCGUAGAGAUAACUAGGAAUACCAAAAGCGAAGGCAAUCUUCUGGAACACUACUGACGCUGAGGCGCGAAAGCGUGGGGAGCAAACAGGAUUAGAAACCCCAGUAGUCC